rnacentral:piRNA from 1 species
ACACAAAUACUGUAUACAUGCUGC